rnacentral:tRNA from 1 species
GGGGAUUUAGCUCAGCGGCAUAAGCACCUGCCUUGAAAGCAGGUGCUUAUGAGUUCGAUGAGUUCGAUUCCCA